rnacentral:rRNA from 1 species
AUUGAACGCUGGCGGCAUGCCUUACACAUGCAAGUCGAACGGCAGCCGGGGAGAAGCUUGCUUUUCCUGCCGGCGAGUGGCGAACGGGUGAGUAAUACAUCGGAACGUGCCCUGUAGUGGGGGAUAACUAGUCGAAAGAUUAGCUAAUACCGCAUACGACCUGAGGGUGAAAGUGGGGGACAGCAAGGCCUCAUGCUAUAGGAGCGGCCGAUGUCUGAUUAGCUAGUUGGUGGGGUAAAGGCCUACCAAGGCGACGAUCAGUAGCUGGUCUGAGAGGACGAUCAGCCACACUGGGAUCGAGCGACGGCCCAGACUCCUACGGGAGGCAGCAGUGGGGAAGUUUGGACAAUGGGCGAAAGCCUGAUCCAGCAAUGCCGCGUGUGUGAAGAAGGCAUUCGGGUUGUAAAGCACUUUUGUCCGGAAAGAAAUGGCUCUGGUUAAUACCUGGGGUCGAUGACGGUACCGGAAGAAUAAGGACCGGCUAACUACGUGCCAGCCGCCGCGGUAA